GACGAACGCUGGCGGCGUGCUUAACACAUGCAAGUCGAACGCAGUGGCGAACGGGUGAGUACUACGUGAUUACCCUUCCCUCCUUUCUGGGAUAAACCUUGGAAACGGGUUCUAAUACCGGAUAAAGGGGUUUGGGCUCGCGGCCUAUCAGCUUGUUGGGGGGGUGAUGGCCUACCAGGGCGGUGACGGGUAGGCGGCCUGGGUGGGUGACAGGCGACAUGGGAACUGGGAUACGGCCCAGACGGCUACGGGAGGAAGCAGUGGGGGGUAUUGCACAAUGGGCGAAAGCCGGAUGGAGCGGCGCGGCGUGGGGGAUGAAGGCUUGCGGGUUGUAAACCUCUUUCGCUAACGAACGGGUAGGUGGAGAAGAAGCGCCGGCUAACUACGUGCCAGCAGCCGCGGUAAUAC
rnacentral:rRNA from 1 species